rnacentral:rRNA from 1 species
GGAUGAACGCGUGGCGGCGUGCUUAACGACAUGCAAGUCGAACGAAGGCGCUUUGAAUCUCUUCGGAGUGAGAGGUGACUGAGUGGCGGACGGGUGAGUAACGCGUGGGUAACCUGCCUUGUACAGGGGGACAACAGUUGGAAACGACUGCUAAUACCGCAUAAGCGCACAGCUUCGCAUGAAGUAGUGUGAAAAGCUGAGGCGGUACAAGAUGGACCCGCGUUGGAUUAGCUAGUUGGUGGGGUAGCGGCCUACCAAGGCGACGAUCCAUAGCCGACCUGAGAGGGUGGACGGCCACAAGGGGACUGAGAUACGGCCCUU